CACCGACUUGCAGUUCGAGUUGAUUUAAUCUCAUGUGCUUGUGUUUGCGUUCACAUGCAUGUACACUCAUACACACAUACUGCCUAAACAUAUUCAUCCUGAGAAUUAUAUUUUAAUUAGAACUAGGUCUACUUGAGACGGAAUGAAGCUUUUAAAAGCUUUUUAGAUUUUGAACAAGAUUAACUAGGAAAUGUAACAAACAAUCAAUCUUUGACUUUAGGCCUAUUUUGUAAAACAGGACAGUGGAACAGAGGAAUGUAGCCCAACUUUUAUUAUGGUCUGUGUAUAUAGAAAGUAUCUGACUAAUCUCAAGUCACUGUGUGUGUGUGUGUGUGUGUGUAUUUACGUCGACCUGCUCCAUUUCUGCCUUGUCCCACCCAGUUGUUGUUGACGUUCGGCUGUGUUGAGAGCAGAGGUCCCUGAACUCCUUGAGCCUGCUGUUUUGCAUCGUUAUCUGAGAUCUAGCUCUCUCCUCAGGCCUCCAACAGGAUCACUGAAACACCUGGUGUUAGUGGAGCAGAGGCGGGGUCACCCCCCCAGUAAACACAAGAUCAGUAAAAGUGUGUGUGUUGAGAGAUUGACAGGGGCUGGGAGCAGAAGUUUAAAUGGCUGAUAGACUGAAUGAAAACACAGUGUGUUUUGCCUUAGCGUUACUUAGGUGACAUUGGAACCACCACUCUAAGUGGUACCACAUGGUGGUGUGUGUGUUCAUACGUGCAUUCCUGUGUUUUCAUCUAUUGCCCAGGACCUGCACCCAGUAUCAAAUAGCAUAUGCUACAGGAAGUAGCAUAUAUGGAGAUAGAGCACUGUUUGGCUAAAGUUGUCCAAAUAGGAACGCCAGCUCAAUUUGUGAUACUUGCCAAACUUGCCAAUUCAAUCCAUUAUAUACAGCAUUUCAUUAACAGAACACACAAGUCAGAUGAUGAUUCCACACUGCUUUAGAAACUAUUCAAGUGUUUUGAAUAGAGAACAUAAUUGCCAGCCGCACAUCUUGUCAACGCAAACAGCCAAAUAGUCUCAAAGACAAAAGAAAAUCCAGUCUCCAUUUGUUGGACAUUGUGUGUAUCUGUGUGGCAGAAAAUCAGCUCAUUCAGAGUCUCUACAGUACCACCACACUGCCCCAAUAUCAAGCCUGUUAUUUUCUCAGCCAUUGUUAAACCCCCAUGGUUGGUUGAGCCUAAUCUCUCUCUCUCUCUCUCUCUCUUUACUGUGUGAGAUAAACAGCUACAGUACUGUCUUUACUGUGUGAGGUAAACAGCUACAGUAUUGUCUUUACUGUGAGGUGAACAGCUACAGUACUGUCUUUACUGUGUGAGAUAAACAGCUACAGUAUUGUCUUUACUGUGUGGUGAACAGCUACAGUACUGUCUUUACUGUGUGGUGAACAGCUACAGUAUUG
ensembl:lncRNA